UACGUAGGCAGCGAGCGUUGUUCGGAGUUACUGGGCGUAAAGGGUGCGUAGGCGGUUGUUUAAGUUUGGUGUGAAAUCUCCCGGCUCAACUGGGAGGGUGCGCCGAAUACUGAAUGACUAGAGUGCGGGAGAGGAUAGUGGAAUUCCUGGUGUAGCGGUGAAAUGCGUAGAUAUCAGGAGGAACACCGGUGGUGUAGACGGCUAUCUGGACCGGAACUGACGCUGAGGCACGAAAGCGUGGGUAGCAAACAGG
rnacentral:rRNA from 1 species